rnacentral:lncRNA from 1 species
GGAUUCUGACCCCAAUCUUUAGAGCAGUCCCUAAGCCCCUUGCUCGCAGGGAGUGAAGCACCAGCAGGCAUGGCUGCCAGGUCAGCAGACAGCCGACUCGGCUUCCUCGAUGGGCAGCUUGCCCCGAUGUCACGGCUGGCAUUCACCGUGGCCCAUGAAGGCGGUGGAGAGUGCCCCACAGGAGCAAUCUGCCGCCAAAGGGGACGUGACGCCUGCCAGGAAUGCCCAGCACACACCCAGUCUCGGGGCACCUGCCCUCACAGCUGGGGGGCGUCACCUAUGUGCCCCGAAUGUAGUAGAUCAUGUGGUGCCUGCACCAAGGCCGUGGCAUGAAAUUCAAUAAAAUUUCCCCAAAUUCAUUGUUCAGUCAUGACUCAUUUCCAAGGAAAGGAGUGAAAUCCACCCUUCUUCCUUUGUUCUUUCUUCCUCCUUUGAAAGUGUCCCCAUGGAGAAGCCCCCACUCCUACAGUCUUGAGAAAGAGCCUCUCACACACUCACACCCAUUCCCACACACAGACACACUCAUACACACACACAUAUUCCCACACACACUCACAUUCCCCACUCACACCCAUUCCCACACAGACACACUCAUACACACACACCCAUUCCCACACACACAUUCCCCCCACACACCCAUUCCCCACACACACUCACAUUCCCACACACACUCACACCCAUUCCCACACACACAUUCCCACACACACCCAUUCCCCCACACACACCCAUUCCCACAUACAUUCCCACACACUCACACCCAUUCCCACACACACACUCACACCCAUUCCCACACACACACCCAUUCCCACACACCCAUUCCCACACACACCCAUUCCCACACACACUCACAUUCCCCCACACACCCAUUCCUACACACACACACACACCCAUUCCCCCCCACACACACACACUCACACCCAUUCCCCACAGACACACUCAUUCCCCACACACAGACACACUCAUACCCACACUCACACCCAUUCCCACUCACACACUCACAUGCCCACACUCACAUUCCCCCCUCACACCCAUUCCCACACACUCAUGUUCCCACACACACACUCACACCCAUUCCCACUCACACACUCACAUGCCCACACUCACAUUCCCCCCACACCCAUUCCCACACACUCACGUUCCCACACACUCACACCCAUUCCCACAUACCCAUUCCCACACACACUCACAUUCCCACACACACAUUCCCACACACACUCAUACAGUCUCACACCCAUUCCCACACACACACUCACAUUCCCACACACUCACACCCAUUCCCACACACACACACUCACACACUGUAACACACACACCCAUUCCCACACACACACCCAUUCCCACACAAGACACACACACCGAUUUCCACACACACACGUACGCACACCCAUUCCCACACACACCCAUUCCCCCACACAUUCCCACACACAUGCACUCCCACACACACCCAUUCCCACACACACUCAUACACACUCACACCCAUUCCCACACACAGACACACACACGCACGCACACACGCGUACACACACACAUUCACACACAGUCACACACGUUAAGCCAUUUUAACUUUAGCGCCUCAGCUCUCAGUCCCCAAAUCACCUGCACACCCAGAGGCAGGGGCUACUCACAACGGAGCACCUUGGACAGAGGCAGGUAAACCCACUAAGCUGGAUUCCUGGAGAAGCAGGAAAAAGCGGAGCCGUUUC